rnacentral:rRNA from 1 species
GACGAACGCUGGCGGCGUGCUUAACACAUGCAAGUCGAGCGGUAAGGCCCUUUCGGGGGUACACGAGCGGCGAACGGGUGAGUAACACGUGGGUGACCUGCCCUCAGCUCUGGGAUAAGCCUGGGAAACGUGGUCUAAUACCGGAUAUGACUCCAUGACGCAUGUUGUGGGGUGGAAAGCCUUGUGCGGCUGAGGAUGGGCCCGCGGCCUAUCAGCUUGUUGGUGGGGUGAGGCCUACCAAGGCGACGACGGGUAGCCGGCCUGAGAGGGCGACCGGCCACACUGGGACUGAGACACGGGCCCAGACUCCUACGGGA